AACGAACGCUGGCGGCAUGCCUAACACAUGCAAGUCGAACGAGACCUUCGGGUCUAGUGGCGCACGGGUGCGUAACGCGUGGGAACCUGCCCUUAGGUUCGGGAUAACUCCCCGAAAGGGGUGCUAAUACCGGAUAAUGUUUUCGGACCAAAGAUUUAUCGCCUUUGGAUGGGCCCGCGUUGGAUUAGCUAGUUGGUAGGGUAAAAGCCUACCAAGGCGACGAUCCAUAGCUGGUCUGAGAGGAUGAUCAGCCACACUGGGACUGAGACACGGCCCAGACUCCUACGGGAGGCAGCAGUGGGGAAUAUUGGACAAUGGGCGAAAGCCUGAUCCAGCAAUGCCGCGUGAGUGAUGAAGGCCUUAGGGUUGUAAAGCUCUUUUACCCGGGAUGUUAAUGACAGUACCGGGAGAAUAAGCUCCGGCUAACUCCGUG
rnacentral:rRNA from 1 species